rnacentral:rRNA from 1 species
UUGGAGGGCAAGUCUGGUGCCAGCAGCCGCGGUAAUUCCAGCUCCAAUAGCGUAUAUUAAAGUUGUUGCAGUUAAAAAGCUCGUAGUCGAAUUUCGGGAUCAAUUUGCUGGUCGUGCCUUCGGUACGCACUGGUAUUAUUGGUUUCUCCUUUCUGAUGAAUCGCGAUGUCAUUAAUUUGGUGUCGUGGGGAAUCAGGACCGUUACUUUGAAAAAAUUAGAGUGUUUAAAGCAGGCUCACGCUUGAAUACAUUAGCAUGGAAUAAUGAAAUAGGACGUUUGAUUCUAUUUUGUUGGUUUCUAGGAUCGACGUAAUGAUUAAUAGGGAUAGUUGGGGCAUUAGUAUUCAAUUGUCAGAGGUGAAAUUCUUGGAUUUAUUGAAGACUAACUACUGCGAAAGCAUUUGCCAAGGAUGUUUUCAUUAAUCAAGAACGAAAGUUAGGGGAUCGAAGACGAUCAGAUACCGUCGUAGUCUUAACCAUAAACUAUGCCGACUAGGGAUCGGAUGAUGUUAAUUUUUUAAUGACUCAUUCGGCGCCUUACGGGAAACCAAAGUGUUUGGGUUC